CUCCUGCCCAGUGAUUUUUUAAACGGCCGCUUAAGUGCUAAGGUAGCAUAAUAAUUCGCCUUUUAAUUGGAGGCUAGAAUGAAUGGAAAUUUAAAUUAUUGCUUUAUUUUAAUUAAAUUUAAAAAUUAAAUUUACUGUGAAAAUCCAGUAAUUCCAUAAAAAGACCAAAAGACCCUAUGAGCUUAAAUUUAAUAAAAUAACUUUAUUUUACAAAUUUUUAUUGGGGUGAUAAAGGACAACCCUCCUUAAAAUUUCUACUUAUUACUUUACAAUAUAAAACCUAGCUACCUUAGGGAUAACAGGCUACUCUUUUUUAAAAGUUCAAAUUUACAAAAAGAUCUAGCACCUCGAUGUUGGCUUAAGAGUAUGUAAAAUGUAGCAGUUUUAUUUAAUGGCUUGUUCCGCCAAUAAUUUCUU
rnacentral:rRNA from 1 species